GCUAAUACCGCAUAAUGUCUACGGACCAAAGGGGGCUUCGGCUCUCGCCUUUAGAUUGGCCCAAGUGGGAUUAGCUAGUUGGUGAGGUAAUGGCUCACCAAGGCGACGAUCCCUAGCUGGUUUGAGAGGAUGAUCAGCCACACUGGGACUGAGACACGGCCCAGACUCCUACGGGAGGCAGCAGUGGGGAAUAUUGCACAAUGGGCGCAAGCCUGAUGCANCCNUGCCGCGUGUGUNAAAAAGGCCUUCNGNUUGNAAAGCACUUUCAGUCA
rnacentral:rRNA from 1 species